AUGACUCUAACUUUGGUGUGGGGUUGGCUGAGUUGUGUUGAUCAUUGUUGAUUCCUGCGGAUCCCCCUAGAUGAAGGAAAAGACCAUCCUUAUUGCGCCAGUCUCUCAAAUUCCUCAUGCUGCUUGAACUGGGUGGAUGCUUGUUGGAGCUUUAACGAGCAUCGUCUCGCAAACUUCUGAAGUUUUGGGUCCUUCCUCCACAAAAUUUGCUCAUUGACUCUUCUUUCACUUAGUUGUCGCAUCCAAGUAGGUUCGCAUCACUUUCUCUUUCGAUUGGCAUUUCGUUGGGAAAUGAAGCGGACAAUCUACUCUCAGUAGCACUGAUCACCGUUGGUGAGGAUUUGACAACUAUUAUCUUCGAAGGGUCUUUGAACUUAUGCAGAGCUCC
rnacentral:lncRNA from 1 species